rnacentral:lncRNA from 1 species
GAGCUGGAACCAGUUGUGAAUUGAAGGAUGCCAAGCAUCUGCUGAACAGCAAGAAAACAAUCAAACUGGUGAAAAUUGCAGCUUGACAUGGCACAGGGAGAGGACCACAGAACUGGAAGGCAGGAGGCCUGGUCAAGGAACUGGUUUUGGAUCCAGAGGAACAAUGCUCCUCGUGUUUGGAAUUCUACAGAAGAGAGUGUUCCUGUGACCUGGCUUCCAUGUUGGACUCGGACACCAAGGCCUGGAUUCACCACCACUCCACCACUGCAGCGGGAGCUCAAGGAGUCUCAGCUUAUUUCUUAGGAAAUUACCUCCAGGCCUGCCAAAGUCACAGAGAGCUGUGGGAUUUCACUCGUCUUUGCAUGUGGAACACUUGAACAUCCCUCGUGAUUUUCUUCACUCCUAUUUACUGAAGAGAAAACAGAAGAUCUGGGAAAGAUCUGGGCUGCUUGCCUCUGGUCUCUUGUCUGCCCUGCUGGCAAGCAUCCAGGUGACAGUUCCAGGAAUGAGGCUGGGGACUGUGAACAGAUCCAUACCUGCUGCUUCAGUUCAGUUCAGUUCAGUCGCUCAGUCGUGUCCAACUCUUUGCGACCCCAUGAAUCGCAGCACGCCAGACCUCCCUGUCCAUCACCAACUCCUGGAGUUCACUCAAACUCAUGUGCAUCGAGUUGGUGAUGCCAUCCAGCCAUCUCAUCCUCUGUCGUCCCCUUCUCCUCCUGCCCCCAACCCCUCCCAGCAUCAGGGUCUUUUCCAAUGA